GACGAACGCUGGCGGCGUGCUUAACACAUGCAAGUCGAACGAAGUGGCGAACGGGUGAGUAACGCGUAAUCAACCUGCCCUUCAGAGGGGGACAACAGUUGGAAACGACUGCUAAUACCGCAUACUGAAGGAGGGGAUUGCGUCUGAUUCGCUAGUUGGAGGGGUAGCGGCCCACCAGGGCGAUGAUCAGUAGCAGGGCUGAAGGGAGGAACGUCCACAUGGGGACUGAGACAAGGCCCAGACUCCUACGGGAGGACGCAGUGGGGAAUCUUCCGAAAUGGAGGAAAGUCUGACGGCGCAACGCCGCGUGAGUGAUGACGGCCUUCGGGUUGUAAAGCUCUGUUAAUCGGGACGCGGUACCGGAAUAGAAAGCCACGGCUAACUACGUGCCAGCAGCCGCGGUAAUUC
rnacentral:rRNA from 1 species